rnacentral:lncRNA from 1 species
CCCUCUUCUUCUUCCUGUCUUCUUCUUCUUCAUUCGCCUCUGCAUCUCACGCGCGGUGGCCGGCGACGCGCUCAAGGGCAACCUACGGCAGAGAGGCACGGAGGUAGGCCGCCGAAGGAGAGGACAACGCGCAUGCGCCUUCAAUGCACGCCUUUAAUGCUGAGAUGAGACGCCGGUUGGGCCGCGAGAGUCCGGUCGGCAAGCCAAAGACCGACGGCCGAGCUCCUCCGUCGACCGGACCCCCU